rnacentral:rRNA from 1 species
UGCCUACGGGGGGCAGCAGUAGGGAAUCUUCCACAAUGGACGAAAGUCUGAUGGAGCAACGCCGCGUGAGUGAAGAAGGGUUUCGGCUCGUAAAGCUCUGUUGGUAGCGAAGAAAGAUAGAGGUAGUAACUGGCCUUUAUUUGACGGUAAUUACUUAGAAAGUCACGGCUAACUACGUGCCAGCAGCCGCGGUAAUACGUAGGUGGCAAGCGUUGUCCGGAUUUAUUGGGCGUAAAGCGAGUGCAGGCGGUUUAAUAAGUCUUAUGUGAAAGCCUUCGGGCCAAAC